rnacentral:rRNA from 1 species
UUAACUAGGCAUUAGAUACCCUAUUAUUAAGAAAAAUUAUAUUGUUAGUAUAUAAAUUGUAUGAAAACAAAAAAUUAUGGCGGUAUUUUAAGCUUUUCAGAGGAAUUUGCUCUUUAAUGGAUAAAACACCUAAAUCUUACUAAAUUUAGUUAAGCAGUUUGUAUACCACUAUUUAAGUAAUAAUUUGCUAUUAUUACUAAAAUUUAUAUUAAUUAAAAAAAGUUAAGUCAAGGUGCAGCAUAAAUUUUAGUAUGAAGUGAAUUACAUUUCUUUUAAGAAAAAUUUGUUGAAAAUAAAAUUUAGGAUU